AACAAAGGUUUAUCAAUUCCGUGCGUUUCAGUUCACUAGACAAUUAUGUGGAUAGCCAGCCGGAUACUAAACAUCUGUUUUUCUUCAAGGGCUCGUCUGCUUUCUUCGGUUUUUUAUGAUCUCAGUUAUUGCUGUGGCCAACCUUCCCACAUCCUAUGGGAUUACUGCUGGAGGAUCGACAUGGAAAAGGGCUUUGGAGGCUAUAAAAGAGAAGAGAAACUUGUGCCGCGCACUUGAACAGCACUGCAAGCGCGAGUUGAUGCAGG